AACCUAGCACACCUGCGGUGUGUACCUGCGGAGGGAUCAUUAACCUUUCAAAUCAGGGUGCGUCGCGGCCCCCGAGGAGCGGAAACAAUCCUGGGGAGGUUUGCGGGGUCUUCGGACCCCCCUAACGCACGCACGACUGCCAUCCUUACUUUACGAGCACCUUCUGUUCUCCCUCGGCGGGGCAACCUGCCGUUGGAACCGAAUAAACUCUUUUUGCAUCUAGCAUUACCUGUUCCGAAA
rnacentral:misc_RNA from 1 species